AUGUGUGAUGUGGCGUGUGUCAUGCAGAGGGAUGGUGCAGAGCCCGAGCCUGACCCAGAGGACACCAGUGUCCUGACGGGAAUAAAUGGAGAUCUUCAGUUGAAUGGGGAGCUUUGUGCUCGCUUUCUUUCGACUCUUGACUCUUCGGACUGACUCAUAAGACCUCAAAUGCACAUAUGACGUCCUGCAGAAGAUUUUCCUCGAUCUGGAUGGACAGAGGAUGUCGUCAAAGGGACAACUGCUGAAAACAAGCUGCUGGUCUACAUCUGUUUCCAGUGCAGAGACUUGCUCGACAGGUCUGCUGAGAAUGAUGGAUGACAUGGCCUCAUUGGAAAUGAUUCUUGUACCUGAAUGAUGGAAAUAUCUGAGGAGGGGCUAAAGAAGAAAGCCUGGCCUUCUCUCUCUGAUUGCUACGGGAAGGACCAAAGACAGACAUGUGAAUCUUAUAUAAGAAAAAGUGUAAACAUUGUACCUUUUUUACCAGGUGAAAAGCGAUACAGAAUUGUUUGUUUCCAUCUCAAUGGUUUAGAAAUGCCAGAUUAUUUUAUUAUUUCUGGCCAAUUUCCUGGUCUCCAGGUAGCACUUUAUUGUUUUAUCCCAUCCUAAACUACUCUCAGAGCACUUUUGAUUCACUUUUUCUUCUGAUGUCAAGUGGGCCUGACCUCAGAAAAUCUCAACAUCAGUGAAUUAGCUCUUGCUAAUGGGAUAUAUUGCACUCACAUAACAUGUUUUACAUGACUCAGCUUUUAUGCAAACUUUCUGCUUACUAAAAGAGUUAGUGUGCAUCGGUGGGCAUGUUUACUGUACCAUCCUCCAAACAGAAGAUAAAGCUGCUAAAAUAAAACAAAAAAGCUGGAUGCAAGCAGUGAAAUAUUCCUGGAUUGUUUUCACACUGGCUGAGCUCAGGCUGUGGAACUUGUUAAGCAGUGAUUAUUGUAGAAUCCUAUUUACUCUUCAUUAGAUGCAUAAACUUUGUGAUUACGUGACAUGGUGUAUGAGUGCAUGCAAAUUGCUUUUUGGCCCGGGUGUUAUAAACAGUGUUGCUACAGUACAUCUAUGCUACACAAGGGUGGCCGCUUGACAGGAAGUAAAUUCCAGUGGCUUAAGGGUGAUGAGAAGCCCUGAAUAUGAAGGAGGCUUCAUCUGUCUCUUUGGACGUGUUUGCUGAGCUGGUGGUUUCUACCUUAAUAACUCAACCCCCAUGUACAGAGAACUGGACCUCCCUGACAGCGAUCCACUACAUCCACGCCACUGAAAGCCAAAGAGUGAGCUGAGACAGAGGGGUGGGGGGGGCAGAGAUGAGAGAAAUCAUUCAGUGGUAAAAACCUUAGAAUCACUUAAGUGAAUUGGCUACUUGUCCAAUGAAUUGGCUUUUCAAAGCUGGGUCGGAUUGUCGAGCAGACAGCAGUGGCGAAGAAACUAUGGUAACAUUGACGAAGCAAGUGUAGGCGCACUAAAUUACACAAAGUUGUCUGUAGGUCAAGAAGAAUGACCUGUACCCAUUGAAACAGCAGAAGACAAUAUUCAUAAUAUCCAACAUGAAAGUACCAUAAGCAUAACAACAUUAGAAGCCUUAAGCCCUGAUAGCUGCACCAAGAGGCUGCAGUGUUUAUUAAUUCAUGUGAGCUUUGUCCUCGUGUUGCUACAGGAAAUGUUAUGGUUUAUGGUUUGUAGUUUUGUAUUUCUUGUUUUAUUUUUUAUUGUGCCUCACGUGUUUUAUGUAGUUCUACUUCCUGUCUUUGUUUGCUUUUCCCACCAGUUUUGAUUGUUUUCCCUGCCCUGAAUGGUUUCACCUGUGUGUCGUUUUCUCCCCUCACCUGAGUGUAUUUAAGUCUGUGUGCUUCCUUUGUUCUGUGCCAGUUUGUCUUUGCCACAUGUGUCAAGCAUUCCAGCCUUUCCUAGUGUUUUGUUGUCUUGGUGUUUGGAUCUUUGCUUUGUUUCUUGGACCUUGCCUGUUUUGGAUUUUGCCUGUUCCCCGUAGUAUUUGUUUGCCUGAUUUGGACUGCUUCCCUGGUUUGGACCACUGCUUGCCUGUCAGUGUAAGCCUUUUUGUUCUUAAUAAAUGAUUGAAACUGCACCAGC